GAUGAACGCUAGCGGCAGGCUUAAUACAUGCAAGUCGAGGGACAGCACAGGUAGCAAUACUGGGUGGUAACCGGCAAACGGGUGCGGAACACGUACACAACCUUCCUUUAAGUGGGGGAUAGCCCAGAGAAAUUUGGAUUAAUACCCCGUAAUAUAGUUGAAUGGCAUCAUUUGAUUAUUAUAGCUACGGCGCUUAAUGAUGGGUGUGCGGCUGAUUAGAUAGUUGGCGGGGUAACGGCCCACCAAGUCUACGAUCAGUAGCUGAUGUGAGAGCACGAUCAGCUACACGGGCACUGAGACACGGGCCCGACUCCUACGGGAGGCAGCAGUAAGGAAUAUUGGUCAAUGGACGCAAGUCUGAACCAGCCAUGCCGCGUGAAGGAUUAAGGUCCUCUGGAUUGUAAACUUCUUUUAUUUGGGACGAAAAAGGGCCUUUCUAGGUCAACUGACGGUACCAGAUGAAUAAGCACCGGCUAACUCCGUGCCAGCCGCCGCGGUAACAC
rnacentral:rRNA from 1 species